rnacentral:tRNA from 1 species
GACCCGUUAGCUCAGUUGGCAGAGCUCCUGCCUUUUAAGCAGGGAGUCUCGGGUUCGAGUCCCGAACGGGUCA